UGGGGAAUCUUCCGCAAUGGACGAAAGUCUGACGGAGCAACGCCGCGUGAGUGAUGACGGCCUUCGGGUUGUAAAGCUCUGUUAAUCGGGACGAAUGGUUCUUGUGCAAAUAGUGCGAGGAUUUGACGGUACCGGAAUAGAAGGCCACGGCUAACUACGUGCCAGCAGCCGCGGUAAUACGUAGGUGGCAAGCGUUGUCCGGAAUUAUUGGGCGUAAAGCGCGCGCAGGCGGAUUGGUCAGUCUGUCUUAAAAGUUCGGGGCUUAACCCCGUGAUGGGAUGGAAACUGCCAAUCUAGAGUAUCGGAGAGGAAAGUGGAAUUCCUAGUGUAGCGGUGAAAUGCGUAGAUAUUAGGAAGAACACCAGUGGCGAAGGCGACUUUCUGGACGAAAACUGACGCUGAGGCGCGAAAGCCAGGGGAGCGAACGGG
rnacentral:rRNA from 1 species